CAGCAGCCACGGGAAUACGUAGGGUGCAAGCGUUAAUCGGAAUUACUGGGCGUAAAGCGUGCGCAGGCGGUUUUGUAAGACAGAGGUGAAAUCCCCGGGCUCAACCUGGGAACUGCCUUUGUGACUGCAAGGCUAGAGUACGGCAGAGGGGGAUGGAAUUCCGCGUGUAGCAGUGAAAUGCGUAGAUAUGCGGAGGAACACCGAUGGCGAAGGCAAUCCCCUGGGCCUGUACUGACGCUCAUGCACGAAAGCGUGGGGAGCAAACAGGAUUAGAUACCCCCGUAGUCCCUGUCUCUUAUAC
rnacentral:rRNA from 1 species